UAAUUUCAUCAAUACCCCUAUGAAAAAUCAUAAUUUCAUGGAUAACCCUCUAAACUGAAAAAUAUCAUCAAUACCCCUCUUAAACCCAAAAAUAUUCACAGAUACCCUUUAGCUUAACUUUCAGUCAAAUGGUCGUCCAAUAUUUUAUAAAUACCAAUUUUACCCCUAGCAACAAUUUAAACAUUUAAUAUUUAAGAUUAAUUAUAUGAUCAAUUUUUAACAUUUGAAUCACAUAAUAAUUUAACAUUAUUUCUAAAAUAUUACAAUUAAAGAUCCAUAGUCUAUUAAGUGUGAUAGUUAAAUCUCAUUAUGAUUUUUCGCUUUUAAAUUAUACAUAGUUAUAAUGCAAUUUGUCUAUAGUAGAAUUCAACAUUAACUAUUUAAAGAUUUAUUUUUAAAAAUUUUAUUUAAAUAACUCACAUAUCUCAUGCUAAAAAUAUUUUGAUAUCAAAAUUCUCUAUAUU
rnacentral:lncRNA from 1 species